rnacentral:rRNA from 1 species
GAUGAACGCUGGCGGCGUGCUUAACACAUGCAAGUCGAACGGAAAGGCUCCUGCUUGCAGGGGUACUCGAGUGGCGAACGGGUGAGUAACACGUGGGUGAUCUGCCCUUCACUUCGGGAUAAGCCUGGGAAACUGGGUCUAAUACCGGAUAGGACGAUGGUUUGGAUGCCAUUGUGGAAAGUUUUUCGGUGUGGGAUGGUCUCGCGGCCUAUCAGCUUGUUGGUGGUGUAAUGGCCUACCAAGGCGUCGACGGGUAGCCGGCCUGAGAGGGUGUACGGCCACAUUGGGACUGAGAUACGGCACAGACUCCAACGGGAGGCAGCAGUGGGGAAUAUUGCACAAUGGGAGCAAGCCUGAUGCAGCGACGCCGCGUGGGGGAUGACGGCCUUCGGGUUGUAAACUACUUUCGCUAGGGACGAAGCGCAAGUGACGGUACCUGGAGAAGAAGCACCGGCUAACUACGUG